GAUAGUGAAAAACUCGUGGGGCACGGGAUGGGGAGAGAGUGGCUACUUGAAGAUCCAACGUAACGUCGGAGGUGCCGGAAAGUGUGGAAUUGCAACGAUGCCAUCUUACCCUGUGAAGGACCCCGUGAAGUACUAUAGCCAAAAUCCCAACAAACAUUACCCAUCUCUGGUAAAUCCUAUCACCUUCUCAAUGGUAAAAGCUAUACUUUUUUAUCUCUCUUCGAUAUUUUUGUUUUGUUUUAUUAUAUUUUCAGAUUUUAUUUGUUUUUCGUUUUCUAUGUUUUCAAAUGAAAAAACAUGAAAAGGUUUGAUAACUUAUCUUCUCUACUUGUGUGCGAAUACAGUUUUCAAAAACUCGAAAACAUCUUUUGAAAAUGAAAACAAGAACUAAAAAUCGAAGACCAUACCAAUUCCAGAAAUAUUAUGAUUAUGUUUUAAUUUGUUUACAUUUUUGAUGCGACAGAUCAAGGAAAUGCCCAUUGGGAGUGAAUGAUGGACAAAGGAGCUGCGAUUAAAUAAACUUUUAAUGGGAUGAGGAAAGAAGAGAAAGGCUUUACAUAAUAAUAGUUGUAUAUAAAUAAUAAAAGGCGAUUAUCUUUGCUUUUCAGUUAUGGAAGUCAUGUAUUGAAUAACGGUGGCUUUAGGGGAUUUGUUUGUCCUCCUAAUACUGCCUCCUCUACUUUUUUAAUGUUAUCAUAAUAAUGUGUGUGUUUUUCCCUUCCUCUAAAGUCUGCAUUUUGAAUUCGCUUGUAAUUGAAAUAAUGUGGCUUGGGGAUUUUGUUUGGAUCCUCUACUUUUUAGGUGAGAAUAAUAAAAUGGGAGUUGUUGUUUUCAAUGCUUUCAAGUUACCUUGUUUCUAUUGCUAAUUUAAUUAAUAAUUCAGAUAAAAAUAAUUUCUAACACAUGUUUUAUUUGUUUUCAUUUUUUUUGAUUUAAUUUAAACAAGUAAUCAUUAACGGAGAAAGUCGUACUUGAGUAACAUGAUCAACUUGGGGGAUUUGUUUGUAUCCUCUACUUUUAUGUGAUAAUAAUAAAAUGGGAGUGUGUUUUCAAUGCUUUCAAGUUAUCUUGUUUCUAUGGCUAAUUUAAUUAAUAAUUCAGCAUAAAAAAAUAAUAAUUCUAACACAUGUUUUAUUUGUUUUCCUUUUAUUUUGAUUUAAUUUAAACAAGUUAAAUCAAUUAAUGGAGAAAGUCGUACUUGAGUAACAUGAUCAACUAAAAGGAUUAAUUCAGUUAGAAAUUUUAAGCAAUUUUGAUCAAGUUUUGAUUUAUUUAUAGAUCGACCUAAUUCCCAAAUGAGCUUUAAUUAAGUUUAAUUCACAUGCAAGUUUAUACAAGUUUUUGGAACAUAUACUUGGGAGGAGAUUUAUAAAAAAAAAAUCUAAAAUAAAAUAAAGUGAUGAAAAUGGAAUUUAAGCCAAAAUUAAGCCAGAACGACUGUGUGGGGUCGGCAAAAAAAAGCAGUCUUGGUUGGGUGGGCCAAUGGGAUGCCCACCCCUAACUCGAACACCGACUCUCUUUUCAAUAAUAUAACUCUAUUUUAUAAAACUAAGUAAUGGUACUGAUAUAUUAAUUUGAGCUUUCAAAUUUCAGAAAUAAAUAGCUUUUGCAAUUUUGCUUCUUAGCAUAACUCAUAAUUAAAAAAUAUGUUAUGUUGAUAGACUAAAUAUGAGUAUUGACGAUAUUAUUUAGCGUUGUCAAAACAUCAGAAGAAUUUUUAAAUCAAACCAGUUUGGAUUGUAUCAUAUGGCGUGGUCCUGUUCUACAGUUAAGAUGUAGAAUUAGUUUUUUACUUCAUAAUCGUCGUUCGAAUCAAACUGAAUUAGUUUCUAUUUAUAAACAUAUAUUGUGUAUAUGUGUAAGUUAAACCCUUCUUAACGCUACUAUUUGCUUGUUGUUUUAUGUUGAGGUUAUUUAUUAAUACUUGUUUGAUGUUAUAUUGAUUUUUUGGGCUUUUAAUUUGUUGUUAUUAUGUUUAGUUUUUUCUGGGUUGGAUGUUACGUGAUGUGUUAUUUUAAAACGUGGAUUGUUUAGAAUUUAGAUGUUAAAAUUAAAAUAUAGAUGUUUAAAAUUAAAAUGGAGAGAAAAAAUACAAUAUUUAGUUAAUAUUUGUAAAUUUAAUUUUAUAAAAUAGAUUUUAAAAAUUUAUUUGGUUGACGAUUGAAAACAUGAUCUUUAUAAAGUUCUCGAGAAAAAACUCAUUUUUAGAAAAAAUUAAAAUGGUAUUUUCCAAUUCCCGAAAACUAUUUCCACUUAAAGAUAAAUAAUAUAUAAUAUUUAAAAUAUGUUCUCUACGAUAAUGUAUUGUACUGUAUUUAGGAGCUCUCACUAUGUUUCUAUUUCUUGUCUUCGCAAUCGUUAUAGUUAACAAUGUACAAAAAUAUAAAGUACAAUAAUAUAUGAUGCUGUAUUUAGGAGUUCGCAUGAUUGGGAAAAUUUCAGGACAGUGGAGGAAACAAGCUUUAAUAUCAAGACAAUGAAAAGAAAAUCAAAAUUUCAA
rnacentral:lncRNA from 1 species